AACAAAAGUAAGCUGGUACAGUCUGGUACUGCAUACCGGACUCACUAUCUUCUGCAAAGGAUUUAUGGCUGGGUACGCAGAGAGAACAGGUCCCCUGUACGAAGUACUUAAAGACCACAGUGGACCUGGACAGAGGAGGAAACUAAUGCAUGGGAGAGCUGAAAAAAAGGGUUAAUGGAGGCACCUACCACGGCCGCUCCUAACAACAAAUUCCCCUUUGUAUUGUA